rnacentral:rRNA from 2 species
UGGGGAAUAUUGGACAAUGGGGGCAACCCUGAUCCAGCCAUGCCGCGUGAGUGAUGAAGGCCUUAGGGUUGUAAAGCUCUUUCAGUGGUGAAGAUAAUGACGGUAACCACAGAAGAAGCCCCGGCUAACUUCGUGCCAGCAGCCGCGGUAAUACGAAGGGGGCUAGCGUUGUUCGGAUUUACUGGGCGUAAAGCGCACGUAGGCGGAUUGGUCAGUUAGGGGUGAAAUCCCGGAGCUCAACUCCGGAACUGCCUUUAAUACUGCCAGUCUAGAGACCGAGAGAGGUGAGUGGAACUCCUAGUGUAGAGGUGGAAUUCGUAGAUAUUAGGAAGAACACCAGUGGCGAAGGCGGCUCACUGGCUCGGUACUGACGCUGAGGUGCGAAAGCGUGGGGAGCAAACAGG